GGCGGCGUGCUUAACACAUGCAAGUCGAACGAUGAAGCCUUUCGGGGUGGAUUAGUGGCGAACGGGUGAGUAACACGUGGGCAAUCUGCCCUGCACUCUGGGACAAGCCCUGGAAACGGGGUCUAAUACCGGAUAUGACCAUCGCGGGCAUCUGUGAUGGUGGAAAGCUCCGGCGGUGCAGGAUGAGCCCGCGGCCUAUCAGCUUGUUGGUGGGGUGAUGGCCUACCAAGGCGACGACGGGUAGCCGGCCUGAGAGGGCGACCGGCCACACUGGGACUGAGACACGGCCCAGACUCCUACGGGAGGCAGCAGUGGGGAAUAUUGCACAAUGGGCGAAAGCCUGAUGCAGCGACGCCGCGUGAGGGAUGACGGCCUUCGGGUUGUAAACCUCUUUCAGCAGGGAAGAAGCGCAAGUGACGGUACCUGCAGAAGAAGCACCGGCUAACUACGUGCCAGCAGCCGCGGUAAUACGUAGGGUGCGAGCGUUGUCCGGAAUUAUUGGGCGUAAAGAGCUCGUAGGCGGCUUGUCGCGUCGGAUGUGAAAGCCCGGGGCUUAACCCCGGGUCUGCAUUCGAUACGGGCAGGCUAGAGUUCGGUAGGGGAGAUCGGAAUUCCUGGUGUAGCGGUGAAAUGCGCAGAUAUCAGGAGGAACACCGGUGGCGAAGGCGGAUCUCUGGGCCGAUACUGACGCUGAGGAGCGAAAGCGUGGGGAGCGAACAGGAUUAGAUACCCUGGUAGUCCACGCCGUAAACGUUGGGAACUAGGUGUGGGCGACAUUCCACGUCGUCCGUGCCGCAGCUAACGCAUUAAGUUCCCCGCCUGGGGAGUACGGCCGC
rnacentral:rRNA from 1 species